rnacentral:lncRNA from 1 species
AUGCUAAGCGUGAAACUCCAUCUUUGCCAAGAAACUGUAGGCCGUACAGGUCACAGAGGAGGCAUGUGGCAAAGGCUUGAUGUAGCCAUGGAAACAGCAAGUGUGAUAGAGGGCCACGCUUUGUGCAUGGACUCCAACCUGGGCAGCGGCUCGGGGAGUCCAGUGGCUGGGCUCUGCGGAGGGCCUUGGACACAGCCUGCCCAUUUUUCUGAGUCAGAGCUGCAGAUACAGCCAUGCCAUCAGGCAGUCCGCCCAGCUCUUCAGACUUUGCAGCCGCUCUCACUGCACAGGUGAAAACCCGACACCCUCCUCGGCAGCGGCAGACCGUGUGGUGGUCUUUUCGGUAUAAAUACCGCACUGAGGAGGCAGAGAAGCACAAUCCCUAAUAGAUCCAACUCCGGAGUCCACGCAGACAGUUUAACCCUUGGGUCAUCAUGUUUGUAUUCCACUUAUUGGAUUGUUAAUAGAUUUUCUUCAUUUGUGUGAGACGUUGCAGAUGAUGUGCUGAGGCUGGCCGGUUCCUCCGGCGCCGGGACCAGGGGUCCACCUGUAAGGAGUCGGCGUUAAAAGCCGCUGCCGUUGCUGCCUCUUGACAACAUCCCAGCUGUAGACUAGCAAUCGCAAUCCUCGGGUGGCAGUUUUAAUUAUCGGCCCCGGCGAUACCAUCAGCAAGUGUGUAAUUACGUGUCAGUUUCCUGGCUGUUGGGUAUGAAAAGUGGAACCAGUGAAAUGAUGAUUGUGGAAGCGGUAGGCUCAUAUUUAAACAAUUCAAAAUGUGUAACUGGCAGUGUCAUUAAACAGAGAGAGUCUGACCCCAGCUGUCACUUACUUUUCCUUAUGCAGAUUUGUUCAUGCUGUCUGUCAAAAGAGCUCCAUGGGCUGCAAUGGGACAGAAGAGGUGACAUAAUUCUCAGAGCAAAGAGGGCGGCUCGGCUGAACUCCGCGGAGGCGUUCUUUUAGCCUCAACAAAUACGGCCGCGAAACUGUAAAUAAACCAAGACCGUUCCAGGAGAUUCUAUAGACU